GACGAACGCUGGCGCCGUGCUUAACACAUGCCAGUCGAACGGAAAGGCCCUGCUUUUGUGGGGUGCUCGAGUGGCGAACGGGUGAGUAACACGUGAGUAACCUGCCCUUGACUUUGGGAUAACUUCAGGAAACUGGGGCUAAUACCGGAUAGGAGCUCCUGCUGCAUGGUGGGGGUUGGAAAGUUUCGGCGGUUGGGGAUGGACUCGCGGCUUAUCAGCUUGUUGGUGGGGUAGUGGCUUACCAAGGCUUUGACGGGUAGCCGGCCUGAGAGGGUGACCGGCCACAUUGGGACUGAGAUACGGCCCAGACUCCUACGGGAGGCAGCAGUGGGGAAUAUUGCACAAUGGGCGGAAGCCUGAUGCAGCAACGCCGCGUGCGGGAUGACGGCCUUCGGGUUGUAAACCGCUUUCGCCUGUGACGAAGCGUGAGUGACGGUAAUGGGUAAAGAAGCACCGGCUAACUACGUG
rnacentral:rRNA from 1 species